CAAACUCUUUAGAUAUAAAGUACACCUGGUGGAUCGGACAGAGUAAACCGAAGCAAAAUGCAUAUGAAGACAGUUGUUUGUAUUGCAAUCUGCGUUCUCUUCGCUGUGCAAGAUGUCAGCGGUGUGACCGCCUGCCUCACUGACGCCGAUUGUACGUCAUUCAUAUGUCCGUUAGACUUCAGCCCGAGACCUCCGCCUCACUGCGUCUACACCGCUCACCGCAGGACGGGUUAUUGUUCCUGCCAUUAUGAUGCCAGUAUUGGAUAAGCGCGGGAAAUAUGAACUGUCAGUGACGUACUUUCAAGAUCGUAACUAUCAACGACAAGAUUGUUAAGUUCUAUGAGUAAACCAUGCAGUCUAUGUGGUAUUAAAGCUGUAGUUACGGAA